ACAGUCCUCAGCCAUUUCUAACUGUGAUUACACAACUCAGAAUAAGAUACUAUAAAAUUAAAAACAAGUGAAAAUAUGUACAUAAAAAUGCUUCCUGAAAUUGGAUCUAGGGAACAAAAUAUACAACAAAUAGGAAAAAAUGCAACGUUUACGUUAGAAGAAAAAAGUGCACUAGAAUCUAAAAGCAAACUAAAAGAAUGCUUCCUGAAAUUGGAUCUGGGGAAUAAAAUAGGCAACAAAAAGAAACAAAAAAAAUACGAAGUAUAAUUAGAAUUAUAAAGUACCCUAGAAUCUAAAAACAAACUAAAGAAUGCUUUCUGAAAUUGCAACUAGGGAAUGAAAUUUGCAAGAAAUGGAAAAAAAACAAAAGCUUACAUUGAGCACCAAAAAUACUAAAAUUCAACAGAAUCUAAAAUCAAACUAUAAAAACCACAGCAACAAAAAAGAACUCAUUAGUUAUCCAGUUUGGGCGAGCUAAAAUAAAAAAAAUAAGUGACUAAUCCAAUCCUAAUAAUAAUACAUUUUAAUCAUUUAUUCCACAAACUUAGAAUUCAAACCCUUUGGAGAAGAUUUUAACUCACGAGAGGGGGGAAAGAGCACACUUCACAAAUUCACGUUGCCACCCCAGCAUAACUAGGAAACUAGAAAACCAAUGAGAAUUAUGAUUAACUGUAGCAAGGGCCGUAGUUCAAUCAUACCUUUCCGGUAGACAUAGCUAAUUCUCCCAG
rnacentral:misc_RNA from 1 species